rfam:Mesocricetus auratus contig009889, whole genome shotgun sequence.
AUGUACCCUCUUCAGUAACACAUGCACUAAUAUUGUCACAAUAUAGAGAAACAUAGCAUAGCCCCUGGGCAAGGAUAACACACAAAUCCAUAAAGCAUUCUAUGCAAAA